ACAGGGAUUGCCCUAGUAACGGCGAGUGAAGCGGCAACAGCUCAAAUUUGAAAUCUGGCGUCUUUGGCGUCCGAGUUGUAAUUUGCAGAGGGCGCUUUGGCAUUGGCAGCGGUCCAAGUUCCUUGGAACAGGACGUCACAGAGGGUGAGAAUCCCGUACGUGGUCGCUAGCCUUUACCGUGUAAAGCCCCUUCGACGAGUCGAGUUGUUUGGGAAUGCAGCUCUAAAUGGGAGGUAAAUUUCUUCUAAAGCUAAAUACUGGCCAGAGACCGAUAGCGCACAAGUAGAGUGAUCGAAAGAUGAAAAGCACUUUGGAAAGAGAGUUAAAAAGCACGUGAAAUUGUUGAAAGGGAAGCGCUUGCAGCCAGACUUGCCUGUAGUUGCUCAUCCGGGUUUUUACCCGGUGCACUCUUCUACAGGCAGGCCAGCAUCAGUUUGGGCGGUUGGAUAAAGGUCUCUGUCAUGUACCUCUCUUCGGGGAGAACUUAUAGGGGAGACGACAUGCAACCAGCCUGGACUGAGGUCCGCGCAUCUGCUAGGAUGCUGGCGUAAUGGCUGUAAGCGGCCCGUCUUGAAACACGGACCAAGGAGUCUAACAUCUAUGCGAGUGUUUGGGUGUCAAGCCCGAACGCGUAAUGAAAGUGAACGGAGGUGGGAACCUUUCGGGGUGCACCAUCGACCGAUCCUGAUGUCUUCGGAUGGAUUUGAGUAAGAGCAUAGCUGUUGGGACCCGAAAGAUGGUGAACUAUGCUUGAAUAGGGUGAAGCCAGAGGAAACUCUGGUGGAGGCUCGCAGCGGUUCUGACGUGCAAAUCGAUCGUCAAAUUUGGGCAUAGGGGCGAAAGACUAAUCGAACUAUCUAGUAGCUGGUUCCUGCCGAAGUU
rnacentral:rRNA from 1 species